rnacentral:rRNA from 1 species
GAUGAACGCUAGCGGCAGGCUUAAUACAUGCAAGUCGUGGGGCAGCGCAGUGUAGCAAUACAUGGGCGGCGACCGGCAAACGGGUGCGUAACACGUACGCAACCUCCCCGUUACUGGGGAAUAGCCCAGGGAAACUUGGCUUAAUACCCCAUAUUAUAUUGAUUGGGCAUCUAAUUAAUAUCAAAGCUUCGGCGGUAAAGGAUGGGCGUGCGGUUGAUUAGGUAGUUGGGGGGGUAGCGGCCCACCAAGCCUACGAUCAAUAGCUGAUGUGAGAGCAUGAUCAGCCACACGGGCACUGAGACACGGGCCCGACUCCUACGGGAGGCAGCAGUAAGGAAUAUUGGGCAAUGGACGAAAGUCUGACCCAGCCAUGCCGCGUGGAGGAUGAAGGUCCUCUGGAUUGUAAACUUCUUUUUUCUGGGGCGAAAACCGGUUUUUCUAAACCAUUUGACAGUACCAGAAGAAUAAGCACCGGCUAACUCCGUGCCAGCCGCCGCGGUAAGAC